GGCGCCUGUAGUCCUACUCAGGAGGCUGAGGCAGGAGAAUGGUGUGAACCCCGGAGGCGGAGCUUGCAGUGAGCCGAGAUCGCGCCACUGCACUCCAGCCUGGGCAACAGAGCCAGACUCCAUCUCAAAAAAAAAAAAAAAAAAGAAAAUCCAUAGGCAACAUUUACAUGACUACAAUUCUGUGAAAUGAUUCAUUGCCUUGUGUGUCAGGAUUGGAUUUUAGACUUGCACUGUGGGUCUGGUUUUAGGAUUCCUGGGCCAAUCAAAGGAUGAGAUAUCUAGCCCCAAAGUCAAAUGGGAUUUUUUGUUUUCUCACUCUUCAUCAGUUGUUUAAAUUUGUGUUACCUUUUAGUUUUUUCAUAUUUGGACCAUGACUUUCUUAAAUUUUUUCCCUAGUAUUUCUGAUUGCCUUUUAAUGUGUUCAUGCAUUAUUUGCCAUUAUUAUGAUCUCAAAAGUUUUCUAGGCUCUCAAUCUUGUCUAACCUAUCGAGUCUUCUUUGUCUAAGCUGUAUGCCGAGAUUCCUUUCUCGUUCUGUGCCGUUCUGAACUGGUUAUUCACUAAGCCCACUACAGAGCUGUCAUCCUGGAACUUCUUUCCAUGGCUGGAAGUGCUGUUUCCUUUUCCCGUGUCUUCCUAUUUUUUUGGUUUAUCCCUCAUUUUGCUGCAGUACAUGCUUGAGUAACUUCUUAAGAAGUGGUUUGUAGGAGGUAAGUUUUUCAAGUCCUUUUUUAUCUGAACGUAUUUACUUAAAAAUUGUUCUGACUCUGGCUUGUUUUUUCUGUUUAUCUUUGAAUGACAGUAUAAUGUAGCUGUUUUCAUAAGGGCCCUUUGUCAUUCAAAAAAUACUGUCUGCUAACUCAGUUGUCUGUAAUGUGAAGAGAGUGAUACCUGUUGCAUUGUGGUUUGAAAGAUGAGCAUAUUUAAAGCAUCUGGCGCACAGGAGAUGUUCAGUACAAGUUAGUUCUUGCUUUCUCUUCUCUCUCUCCCAACACACAUAGCCUAUUUACCCAGCCAAAAUCAGAAGCAGAAACCUUGGCAAUAGGGGUCAGGUGAUUUUUGACUCUGGAUUACAGCUGUAGCUUUGAGGGACAACCUGGAUCUGGAGUUGAAAGUCAGUUUUAAGUUUAAAAUAAGGAGUUAGAGUCAACUUUCCUGGUUAAGAGAAACCUAAAUAGGAAUGCUCACUGUAAGUGCCCUUUUGCUUCAGCAUUUUGGGCAGAGGAUACCCAACUCCAUCUGAGAAGUGUCUAGUUUUUAUUGUUUGGAAUCUAGAUUGUCACUACAAAUUGAGCUGUUUUUGUGUGUGGGAUAGGGGAGGAAGAGGAAAUGGAGAAGGGGGAGAUGAGCAGGAAAGGUAAUUGACAUUUGUUGAUUACCUGCUGUAUGCCAGACAAGGCAGAGAGUGAGAGUCAGCACAUCCCAGAGAGAUAGCAACAGAAUUAUAUGCAUAUGGAACUUUUUCAUAACCCUAGAUGCUUUUACGUAUAUUAUUUCUUUUAACCCUCACAGUGAUCCCAUGAACAGGUAUAUAUUAUUACCUCAUUUUACUGUUAAGUAAACUGAGGCUCAGUGAGGUUAAAUAAAUGUCCUGGGGUCAUAUAACAGGUGAGUGGCAGAGAUGGGAUUAGAACUCUGUGAUUCCAAAACCUGUGUUCCUGUCCUUAUGCCAUGCUGUCUCAUGCCAAUUGUGUGGCCCAUAAUUAGGUCUUGUAAUUAUGUAUCCUUGAUGAUCGCAUAACUGUGGUGGUGGAGUGGUGGAUGGAUUUUUAGAGUUUGCUUCUGAACUGAGUCUGGGUUAUGCUAUUUGGAACUGUCAUUGAUGGUGAGAUAGAGAUGAUGGAAGAAAACCCAAAUAUACCAGAAAUGGGUAGUACACCUCCAUUGUCUAUUUAUAUUUUAUUCUCAUCAAGAUUUCCACCAAGGUGACUCACACCACUAAUCUUAUCACUUUGGGGGGCCGAGGUGGGAGGAUUGCUUGAGGCCAAGAGUUUGAGACAAGCCUGGGCAACAUAGCGAGAUUCUGUCUCUACAGAAUUUUUUUUUUUUUUUUUUUUUGAGAUAGCGUUUCACUCUUGUCGCCUAGGCUGGAGUGCAAUGGCGCCAUCUCAGCUCACGGCAGCCUCCUGCUCCCAGGAGAAUCGCUUGAAUCCGGGAGGCAGAGGUUGCAGUGAGCCGAGAUCAUGCCAUUGCACUCCAGACUGGGCAACAAGAGCAAAACUCUGCCUCAAAAAAAUAAAAAAUAAAAAAAAUUAAAAAAAAGCAUUGAACUCCUGUUUGUGUUAGCAUCGUGAGUAUGUCCUAAAAGAAGAAA
rnacentral:lncRNA from 1 species